rnacentral:sRNA from 1 species
UAGAUUGUCACCAUUAACCACAACGCAAU